rnacentral:rRNA from 1 species
GACGAACGCUGGCGGCGUGCCUAAUACAUGCAAGUAGAACGCUGAAGGAGGAGCUUGCUCUUCUGGAUGAGUUGCGAACGGGUGAGUAACGCGUAGGUAACCUGCCUGGUAGCGGGGGAUAACUAUUGGAAACGAUAGCUAAUACCGCAUAAUAGUAGAUGUUGCAUGACAUUUACUUGAAAGGUGCAAUUGCAUCACUACCAGAUGGACCUGCGUUGUAUUAGCUAGUUGGUGGGGUAACGGCUCACCAAGGCGACGAUACAUAGCCGACCUGAGAGGGUGAUCGGCCACACUGGGACUGAGACACGGCCCAGACUCCUACGGGAGGCAGCAGUAGGGAAUCUUCGGCAAUGGACGGAAGUCUGACCGAGCAACGCCGCGUGAGUGAAGAAGGUUUUCGGAUUGUAAAGCUCUGUUGUAAGAGAAGAACGGGUGUGAGAGUGGAAAGUUCACACUGUGAC